rnacentral:tRNA from 1 species
GCCUCCGAAGUGUAGCGGUAUUGCACAUCCGCCUGUCGAGCGGAAAGUGGCGGGUUCAACUCCCGUCGGAGGCGCCG